CUGCAAUCAUGUGGAUGUUUCAAUCACCUGAAUAAACCCCAGAAAAUAGUCCAAGAGCUGAACCAGAAACAGUUAGGCCUGUGCAUGCUGACUGGACGAGGGGAGGCCAAGAGAGGGACUGUAGUUGGCUGCUCGGUGCCCAGUCAUAUUUUCCUGCAGAGAGCUUUCAUGAUCCAAGAUGCCUCUGAGGAGCUGGCUGAGUGUGGGAACAGCAUCACGAUCAUACAGGGGAGUAGACAGUGAUGGGAAG